ACUAGGCAGGGGUUUGGUAGUCUGGCAGUGUUGGUACUCGUUCCCCAAAGCGUUCGACGCAGCUCGAGUUCCUGAAGAGGAACAUCUCUAGGUUACGCAUGUAACCCUAGUUCCUCGAGGGAACGAGACGCUGCGUCUCGGAGCCAUACCUCCGGCACCCCUGCCGGCACUUGCUGGUACUCGAAGCUGAUGCCAGCUGCGCGGCACGUGCUUUUAUAGCUUCCUAGUCACUAACGUCACCCCGCCCGUGACGUCACGCUCUUCCAUUGGACUGAUUACACACGAUAUUCAGAGUCGCUCACGCUAGACGCGUUCCCCAAAGCGUUCGACGCAGCGUCUCGUUCCCUCGAGGAACUAGGGAAACAUGCGUAACCUAGAGACGUUUUGUUACGCUCAUUACCUGUAAAAUCUAUCUACAAGUCGUGCUACGCCGCUAUCUACAAGUCGCUGCUAUCUCAACAAUACACGGAACAAUGGCUGACAAUUACCAGAGUAAGUGUUUUUCAUCUGAGUUAUUUAAAUAUAUUUUAAUGUGAAUAUUUGUUUAAUGUCUCGUGGUUAUAAUUUCUAGGUGGUUUUGAGAAUCAGGAUUUCGACGAUGGUUUGGAACAGAUCCUUGAAGAGCUAUUCGAUGAGGCGGAGCUAUUUGCUUGUGAUGAUGACGGCGCUGUUAAUAACGGUGAGCACGUUGAUUCCAACAGUCACGUGGUAAUGUUACCUACAGAGGACGUUUUACAAGAGGUUGUGGUUAGCGCGGACGUCACAAAUCCCGCCCCCGCGCCCGUUCCGUCUUCAGAGGAACGGUCUCACACGCUCCCAGACUGUUCAAGUGUUCACAUACACCAGGUGCUUCCAGGCCGCGUCACCCGCAGGGUCAGGGGGUAAAACGUUUGAGGUUACCGGAGAAUGAAACGGAUGAUGCUCCGACCACCAGUCGUUUAAGGACUUCGGAGAAUAACGAACAAGGGUACGACGAAGGCGGCCUAACAGCGUGGACUGAUUCGCAGAUACAUGCGUGGGAUCAAGUGUCCUUCAGUGCUUCGGAAAGCGAGGAGAAGGACGAGGAAUUACCUCACGAAAUUCCUCAGGAAUUGUUCCGUGAGCGUGAUUUAAACAGAAGGCUUGAUUAUGAUAUGCUGCGCCGUGUUAAUCGGAACUUUGAGACACUUUUCGACUUGAACGGACAAACUUUAUCCUAUCGGGAAGCAGAAGACAUCGUUGCUAGCGCACAAAGUGAUGUGAUCUCGAUUUUGAGAAACAUCAUAUCCUGUCAGCAGCAGCAGAACGAAUCCUUACGUCACGCGGCCGAAUUUUGGAGAAGCUGUCACGAACAGCUGUAUGGUGAAUUUCGGGAGUUUCAACAGAGCAUGAGUGGUACCGGCAGAAAUCCAUCAGGUACAAGUCCAGCAAAAUCUCUCUGUUAACGCCCUUACGCUGAUCACAGAACGUUUAAACCUCAUUCAAAGAAUGCUGACGGAUUUGUUUAAUCGUAUUAUAAGAGGUUGAUAUGUAUUGAAUUGUUGCUUGUUUUGUUUUGUUACUGACAUCGAUUCGUUAUUAUCAUUGAGUAUUUCUUACAUUUAUUAUUGUUUGUUAUUGACAACGAAUCAUUAUUAUCAUU
ensembl:lncRNA